rnacentral:rRNA from 1 species
UACGUAGGGCGCAAGCGUUGUCCGGAAUUAUUGGGCGUAAAGAGCUCGUAGGCGGCUUGUUGCGUCCGCUGUGAAAUCCCGGGGCUUAACCCCGGGCGUGCAGUGGAUACGGGCAGGCUAGAGGCAGGCAGGGGAGAACGGAAUUCCCAGUGUAGCGGUGAAAUGCGCAGAUAUUGGGAAGAACACCAGUGGCGAAGGCGGUUCUCUGGGACGGUACUGACGCUGAGACGCGAAAGCGUGGGGAGCGAACAGG